rnacentral:rRNA from 1 species
AAUCAACGCUGGCGGCGUGCCUAACACAUGCAAGUCGAACGCGAAAGUGGAGCAAUCCAUGGGUAGAGUGGCAAACGGGUGAGUAACACGUGGGUGACCUGCCUUCGAGUGGGGGGAUAACGUUUCGAAAGGAACGCUAAUACCGCAUAACAUGCUGUCUUUUAACAGAUGGACAUCAAAGCCGGGGACCGCAAGGCCUGGCGCUUGAAGAGGGGCCCGCGGCCUGAUUAGCUAGUUGGUGGGGUAAUGGCUCACCAAGGCAACGAUCAGUAUCCGGCCUGAGAGGGCGGACGGACACACUGGGACUGAGACACGGCCCAGACUCCUACGGGAGGCAGCAGUGGGGAAUUGUUCGCAAUGGGCGCAAGCCUGACGACGCAACGCCGCGUGGAGGAUGAAGAUCUUCGGGUCGUAAACUCCUUUCGAUCGAGCGAAUGGCCUUGGGCCUAAUACCCCUGAGGGAGUGACGGUACCGAGAGAAGAAGCCCCGGCUAACUCCGUGCC